rnacentral:tRNA from 1 species
GAGGGUAUAGCUCAACUGGUAGAGUGCAUGCUUUGGAUGCACGAGGUCCUGGGUUUAAUCCCCAGUAUCUCCU